GACGAACGCUGGCGGCGUGCUUAACACAUGCAAGUCGAACGAAGUGGCGAACGGGUGAGUAACGCGUCAUCAACCUGCCCUUCAGAGGGGGACAAAAGUUGGAAACGACUGCUAAUACCGCAUACUGAAGGAGGGGAUUGCGUCUGAUUAGCUAGUUGGAGGGGUAACGGCCCACAAAGGCGAUGAUAAGUAGCCGGGCUGAGAGGAUGAACGGCCACAGUGGGACUGAGACACGGCCCAGACGCCUAAGGGAGGCAGCAGUGGGGAAUCUUCCGCAAUGGACGAAAGUCUGACGGAGCAACGCCGCGUGAGUGAUGACGGCCUUCGGGUUGUAAAGCUCUGUUAAUCGGGACGCGGUACCGGAAUAGAAAGCCACGGCUAACUACGUGCCAGCCGCCGCGGUAAUUC
rnacentral:rRNA from 1 species